GGGGAUGAAUUGAUUCGACGAAGCAUGUACAUUAAAAACUGCAAGCCGGCGAUGACAAAAGAGCCGUUUACCCUGAGAGUAAUCGAAGGGCAAAAAUUUUGUCAAAACUAUCUGCUGAUAAAACAGUAGAACUUUUGGAAGAAAAGCUUGCUCUUCUUGAGCAAAAACUUGCUUUCAGAAAUUCCCGAGCUUUUGCAUUCGCACGAGCAUAAGGAAUCAUCUUUCGUAAUUUUUUCUCGGUGAAAUGCGGAAGGUGGAAAAACAGCCGAGGCGUCAGGAAUCUAUUGAUCGGUAGAUUUCGGAGUAUUUAGGUCGAACCUCUUUACUUUUUUUGUCAAUUUUUAGGGUAAAGAGUUACCAAAUUGACUACGCUUGUAGACGUUUUUCGUGUAUUUCUUCGGACCCGGGCUCACUCCCCGGCAUCUCCACCC
rnacentral:tmRNA from 1 species